AGAGUGAAAAUAAGGACAAAAGUUCAAAAGGUGCACGAUGCCCAUGUUUUGCAAAUACUCAGAAAUAUCAACAAGUCCUACAAGCUGUAAGGAUUUUUGUUUAAAUGUCGUCAAAUGACUCAAAGCAAAGGGCAUUGACACCAGUUAGUUUAGCUAAACUGAGGCCAUUUAUAACUUAGGUAAGCUUAUGCAGUCAGUUAAUUUAAAGAAAAAGUCUGAGAAUUGUAGAACAUAUUCUCUAUUACAUAUUUAAUUCUCUCGGUUACACAUGAGGUAUUAAAUAAGUUAAAAUUCAUGUUUAAACUACCACUUAUAGUAUACAGUCAACUCAACUUCUAAAUGAAGCUCAAUCGUAUUUGUUCUGUAGAUUUUUUCCUAUUAUUCUUUCCAAUUCUCUGUAAAUUAAACUGUAUAUAUAUUUGGAAUUGUGAGCUUUGAAAAAAAACUGUGCAACACUGGAUGCCAACAUGCAUAAAGGUAAUGAAGUAAUACCGAUGAAAGAAAAGAAUGGAACAAGUUUUUCUGACCCGAUUUCUACCGUUUCAUUACCAAUGGAUAAUGGAAGUGGUUCCGAUACAAAAAGAACAGUGAUGUCUUUUCACGACGUUCAGUACAAUGUGAAUUUACGAACCGGUAUCACUGGGAAAUGCAAGAAAUCAAAGGAAAAGAGAGUCUUGUCCAAUGUCAGUGGAAUCAUGAAGCCGGGUUUGAAUGCAAUCAUGGGACCAACUGGAAGCGGGAAAUCCUCCUUACUUGACAUUUUGGCUGGUCGAAAAGAUCCAGUUGGUUUGUCCGGGAAUAUUCUCAUCAAUAAUCGACCAUUGCCGUCAAAUUUUAAGAGAAUUAGUGGAUAUGUUGUUCAGCAAGACAUCGUGAUUGGAACGCUCACUGUGCGAGAAAAUCUUUGGUUUUCAGCAAAUCUUCGAUUGCCGAGGUCGGUCUCGCAGAAAGACAAAAAGAAACGAAUUGAGGAGAUUUUAUAUGACCUCGGACUCACAAUGUGUGCGGAUACCAAGAUCGGGAAUGAGAUGAUCCGAGGAGUAUCGGGAGGAGAGAAGAAGAGAGCAUCGAUUGGGAUGGAGCUCAUCACUGCUCCAACUGUUCUCUUCCUGGAUGAACCAACCACAGGGUUGGAUGCUUCCACUGCUAAUGCCGUCAUGUUUCUACUGAAAAGACUUGGAAACAAAGGCCGAACCAUCAUUCUGUCAAUCCACCAACCAAGAUAUAGUAUAUUUCGACAGUUUGAUACUUUGACGCUCUUAUCACUUGGCAGACUUAUAUAUCAUGGGCCUAAUGAUAAAGUACUUCCACAUUUUGAUGCACUUGGUUACCAUUGUGAGGAACACAACAAUCCCGCCGAUUUUUUCCUCGAUGUUAUAAAUGGAGAUUCCACAGCUUUAUCUAACAAUAUUGAGUCUACUGCUGCUAAUCCUGCUCAAUCUAAAGCUUUAGAUUCUGACAUUGAAGAAAUGACAGACGAGACGAGCAAAAGCAUGGCUGAACAAUUAUCGGAAAAGUUUGCAACUUCUGAAAUAUACAACGACACCAAAGUAGAAUUGGACGAAAUAUUUACCAAGUUUCAAGGAGCAAAGAAAAAAGUAGCAUUCGAAGGAACAAGCCAAUAUGCAACACCAUUUUAUUACCAGUUCGCUAUUCUUUCACAAAGAGCAGCAAAAAAUGUGAUUCGUAAUCCCCUUGCUUCUGUUGGUAAUUUGGUUCUUAACUUGAUAGUUGGUGUGGUGUUUGGAUUACUGUAUUACCAAGUAGACGAUACACCAGACACUGGCACACAAAACAGGUUUGGAGUUCUCUUUUUCAUUACAACCAAUUUAUUAUUCGGAUGCAUUAGCGCUAUCGAGGUGUUUGUCAAAGAAAAAGAUAUUUUUGUGCAUGAGUAUGUGUCGGGUUAUUAUCGGGUGAUCGCGUAUUUCCUCUCCAAACUUGUGGCUGAUUUGAUUCCAAUGCGCACGAUUGCCCCGAUCAUUUUUUGCUCAGUAACUUACUGGAUGGUUGGUUUAAAAGCUGACCCUGGAUCAUUCUUCACAUUCUUACUGAUGGUUCUACUCACUGGCUAUGCUGCUGUAUCAAUUGCUCUCUUUUUCUCGGCCACUUUCAACAGCUUUGCCGUGGCGAGCAUCUUUAUUUCUCUCACUUUCGUUUUCUCAAUUUUGUUCGCUGGUUUGCUGGUUAACGUUGACACAAUUCUACCAUGGCUGGCGUGGAUCAAAUAUCUCAGUGUUGCGCAAUAUGCUUUCUCGGGUUUGUGUGUGAAUGAGUUCCGUAAUUCCCUCUUCAUAUCUUGUGCACCACGUAACUCAACCAGGCUACCCGCAUCUGCUUUACAAGAAGCUGGGUCAUUUGGUUUAGAUAUCUCAACACAGGGAAAUUUGACAUGUUACUCAAUAACUGGAGAAGAAUUUCUGUCAUCAAGACUUGGAAUUGGAAGCGUGGAUUCUGCAGGUGUUGUCACAAUAGCAGAUUGGGACCAGUGGGUAAACGUGGUCGCUCUCUCAUGUAUUACAGUAGGAAUGCUCACACUUACAUACAUACAACUUACGCGCACUAAAACUAUGACUUAAUCACACUUAUGGUAGAAUAAGGCGUGUAUGACUAAUGUUUUUCUACUGGAACUAAUGUUGUAAUAUUAAUAUUUAAAUGCAAGCAAAGACGAAGUAGGGUGUAUAGCUGUUUUUUUAUUUUUUUUUGGCUUGCUGUAAUUUACGCAAAGCCGCUGUCGUUGCCUCUGUGUAGAAUAUACGCAAACUCUUUUUCUCAAGCCAAUGUUGGGUAUAGUAGGUUGGGGUAAGAUGGGACAUACGUUCUCUUUUCUUCUCCCAUUAGGUAGUAAACAAAGAAUAUUAACAUAAAUAUAUAACCGCAUCAUCACGACUCUAAAAAAGUGUUGUUGACUGUUCAAAAAAAUAAUGGAUUAAAAGUGCUUACAGAAUUCCAUCUUACCCCACGUAAUAUAUAUCUAUUUCAUCUUCUUUAUGCAACUUACUUUUCUUCAUUGUGGAUCUACCAUUUUUCACUUUAAGCCAAAAUACGUUAGAUUUCUGUCCAAGCCGUUCAUACCACACAAGGCUUAAUACGAGUACGAACCGCCUUUAUCUAUUUCUGACAAAUUUCAAAGCAAUAAAUUAUAAUAUUUAUUACUUGCACUUCCCGUCCACGGCUCAUUAGCUUAUCACUACGCCUCUAUUCUGUUGCAAUCUGUUUCAGAGAACUAUUUCUUCUGUUAAAAACGUCGAUACUUUUUCCUUCAGUAUUUUUGUAUUCCAAUCCUAUUACAAAAUACUAACAAUGUACGACAGCAAAGGAGAAGCUAUUAUUAACAUUACACUUGGCAGUUUAAUUUGUUGCUGGAAAUAUCGAACAUAUUAAUGUUACUCAUUGUUUAUUGUUUCUGAUAUGAAAAUACAUUUUCUUGUUGUUUCA